rnacentral:rRNA from 1 species
GAUGAACGCUGGCGGCGUGCCUAAUACAUGCAAGUCGAGCGAACGGACGAGAAGCUUGCUUUUCUGAUGUUAGCGGCGGACGGGUGAGUAACACGUGGAUAACCUACCUAUAAGACUGGGAUAACUUCGGGAAACCGGAGCUAAUACCGGAUAAUAUUUUGAACCGCAUGGUUCAAAAGUGAAAGACGGUCUUGCUGUCACUUAUAGAUGGAUCCGCGCUGCAUUAGCUAGUUGGUAAGGUAACGGCUUACCAAGGCAACGAUGCAUAGCCGACCUGAGAGGGUGAUCGGCCACACUGGAACUGAGACACGGUCCAGGCGCCUACGGGAGGCAGCAGUAGGGAAUCUUCCGCAAUGGGCGAAAGCCUGACGGAGCAACGCCGCGUGAGUGAUGAAGGUCUUCGGAUCGUAAAACUCUGUUAUUAGGGAAGAACAUAUGUGUAAGUAACUGUGCACAUCUUGACGGUACCUAAUCAGAAAGCCACGGCUAACUACGUG